UCUUAUCGAACGGUCAAAUCGUUUGAAUGAAGGUCGAUCCUCCUUUCUGGCCCUCUUAUUUCUCUUUGUUUGGGCACUACACCUCCAUCAUCCCACCUUUUUCUUUAUUUCCAAACGAGGAAAACGGACAGUUGAAAACGGUUCUUCAUGUUCUCAAGUGACCACUGAGUGGAAUUCAAAUUGUCUGAUUUGGGAAUGAAGAAAAAGGAAAAAGGGUAUUUGAAGGAGAAAGCUGAUUUCUCAGAAGCAGCCACAGAAAAUAAUAUAAAAACUUCUUGUACAUCGAGUUCU
ensembl:ncRNA C25A11.7 ncRNA